CCCAGGCGGCGGCGGGCAAGAAGCAGCAGAAGACCACCAAGGCGCCGAGGGAGAAGAAGGCGAAGGCAGAGGACGAGAGUGCGUGGAGGAGCCCGACGUGGAGGAGGGCGAGAUGGCCACCUUCGGGGAGCAGCAGAACGAGCAGGGGCACGCAGCGGUGGCGGCCAAGAGGCGAAUGGCGCAGCCGACCAAGAAGGCCAGGAAGCCAGAGUUCCUCGGCGAGCCCGUCCCCGCCGACGAAGCCUGCGCCAACUGGCCGCAGCGUUACCAGUGUGCCUCGCCCAUGAGGUACGCAUUGGACCCGUCGCCCAUCCGACUCGCCCUGACCCUUCUCCUUCCCGCGCCGGUCGGGCUGAUGUGGACGCGGUUGCGAGCUUGACGUGAGACCAGACGCAAGGAGGCAGCGUGGAGACAGGCCACCGCCGGUCGCCCACCACCGGAGCUUUUGCCCUCUGCGCCGUCUCCUCCAUAACCUCAUCCGCGUGCACGGCUGCUUUCUGGAGGGCCGCCACUGGGAUCCACGGGGUGCGCCUCCACCCCCCUGCAGCUCCAUCAUGUGUGAUGGGCGCCGAUCUGCAGGCUUGAGCUUGAGCUCCUUGGCGUCCUUCCUCGAGUUGGUGGCCCAGCUCGCCGGCGUUCUGAGUACGGCCUCGGCUACAAACUCUGACGGUGAGUUUCAAACCCAAUUCCGCUGCCGCACUGAUCGAUCUGGCCUUGUUGGGGAUGCUCCCUGGAUAACUGUACCAUACCCAUUCCAGUGGGAAGCACCGACU